rnacentral:rRNA from 1 species
UGCCUACGGGACGCAGCAGUGGGGAAUAUUGCACAAUGGGGGAAACCCUGAUGCAGCGACGCCGCGUGAGUGAAGAAGUAUCUCGGUACGUAAAGCUCUAUCAGCAGGGAAGAAAAUGACGGUACCUGACUAAGAAGCCCCGGCUAACUACGUGCCAGCAGCCGCGGUAAUACGUAGGGGGCAAGCGUUAUCCGGAUUUACUGGGUGUAAGGGGAGUGCAGGCGGUUCAAUAA